rnacentral:rRNA from 1 species
GACGAACGCUGGCGGCGUGCUUAACACAUGCAAGUCGAACGGAGCUAUUUAUUUCGGUAGAUAGCUUAGUGGCAAACGGGUGAGUAACGCGUAGGCAACCUGCCCUCAGGAUGGGGACAACGGCUCGAAAGAGCCGCUAAUACCGAAUGACGUAACUCUUCCACAUGGAAGAGAUACUAAAGAUGGGUCAAACCAUCGCCUAAGGAUGGGCCUGCGUCUGAUUAGCCAGUUGGUGAGGUAACGGCUCACCAAAGCGACGAUCAGUAGCCGGUCUGAGAGGAUGAACGGCCACAAUGGGACUGAGACACGGCCCAUACUCCUACGGGAGGCAGCAGUGGGGAAUCUUCCGCAAUGGGCGAAAGCCUGACGGAGCAACGCCGCGUGAGUGAAGAAGGUCUUCGGAUCGUAAAGCUCUGUUGUCGGGGACGAAAGAGUAGACGAGGAAAUGCGUUCUACUAAGACGGUACC